rnacentral:lncRNA from 10 species
CUCACCUGACAUUACUUUUCUCAUUCCUCUCUUGGGCAUAAAAUAUUACAUCUCUUCACCUCCAAUUGGAACAGACUUAUGUUUAACCGUAGGAAAUUCAGACAGGAAGUACUUCAUGGAAAAGGGGCCGGUGGAUGAGAUGUGUUUGACAGUUUGGCUGUGGCUUGUGAAGUAGGAACCAGAAUAGAUGGCAUGCCAAGAAGGACCUGGUAGGUAAAGUCUGGUGCCUGCUCUGCUGUGUUUUUAAAAAUCUGACUGUUGCUUAUGAAGAAUGGAUUAGAUUCAGAUGAAACCAGUGGGAUACCGAUGCAGUCUUUACAUCCAGUGACUCACACACAGCUUCUUCCCAUCUUAGGGCUUUCGUGCUGUUUCCUUUGCUUGGAAUCUAAACAAUGUGUGAGCCACUGCACCUGGCUGGGUUGUUUUAUUUUAAGCAGACAUUUUAGAGGAUGCUGGAGGAGGAGGAGAACAAUCUGACGACAAGUUAUUGCUGGUACUGAUUUUUAGAAUACUUGUCGAGGCUGCAGUGAGCUGUAAUUGAGCCACUGCAUUUCAGCCUGGGUGAUGGCAAGACCCUGUUUCAAAAAAAACAAAAGUAAAUAAAAUACCAAAGACUAAUUUUAUUUCAGGGGUCAGAACUAUUCAUCCUUUAUCUUUUUAUUUGAAACCACAUUUCACCAUAUAAAAAUUAGAGCCUAGGUGUGUUGUUGCACACCUGUAGUCUCAUCUACUCUGGAGGCUGAAGCGGGAGGAGUGCUUGAGCCCAGCCUGGGCAACAUAGCAAGAUUCCAUCUCAGAAAAAUUACACACACACACACACACACACAC